UGGCUUCAAUUUCUUCCAGCGCCUGGAGACCACCGCUAGCCGUCCGUCCACUCGUCCGUCAACCCAGCCCGUCCACUCGUCCGUCAACCCGUCCACUCGUCCGUCAACCCGUCCACUCGUCCGUCAGCCCGUACACUCGUCCGUCAACCCGUCCACUCGUCCGUCAACCCGUCCACUCGUCCGUCAGUCCAUACACUCGUCCAUCAACCCGUCCACUCGUCCGUCAACCCGUACACUCGUCCGUCAGUCCAUACACUCGUCCAUCAACCCGUCCACUCGUCCAUCAACCCGUACACUCGUCCGUCAGCCCAUACACUCGUCCGUCAACCCGUCCACUCGUCCAUCAACCCGUCCACUCGUCCAUCAACCCGUCCACUCGUCCAUCAACUCACCAGGAACUCCGACCAACGAUGGCCGCUAAAACAGCACAUGUCUUCAAGAAAACCAGCUCCAAUGGGAAGGUGACAGUCUACAUGGCAAAAACGAGACUUUAUCGACAUCUGGACCACGUGGAUCCUGUUUGGUAAGUAAUCAUCAGCAGCAUCAUCUGCAUCAUCAUCAGCAUCAUAAUCAGCAUCAUCAUCAGCA